UGUGCUAACGGUGACUUGAAGGUCAACCACA
rnacentral:piRNA from 1 species